UACGUAGGGGGCAAGCGUUGUCCGGAUUUAUUGGGCGUAAAGAGCGUGUAGGCGGUCAGGUAGGUCGGCUGUGAAAACUGGAGGCUCAACCUUCAGAGGUCGACCGAAACCCCCUGGCUAGAGUCCGGGAGAGGAGAGUGGAAUUCCUGGUGUAGCGGUGAAAUGCGCAGAUAUCAGGAAGAACACCCGUGGCGAAAGCGGCUCUCUGGAACGGUACUGACGCUGAGACGCGAAAGCGUGGGGAGCGAACAGG
rnacentral:rRNA from 1 species